UACGUAGGGGGCAAGCGUUAUCCGGAUUUACUGGGUGUAAAGGGAGCGUAGACGGCUGUGCAAGCCAGAUGUGAAAGCCCGGGGCUCAACCCCGGGACUGCACUUGGAACUGCGUGGCUUGAGUGUCGGAGAGGCAGGCGGAAUUCCUAGUGUAGCGGUGAAAUGCGUAGAUAUUAGGAGGAACACCAGUGGCGAAGGCGGCCUGCUGGACGAUGACUGACGUUGAGGCUCGAAAGCGUGGGGAGCAAACAGG
rnacentral:rRNA from 1 species